AUACGGAGGAUGCAAGCGUUAUCCGGAUUUAUUGGGUUUAAAGGGUGCGUAGGCGGAUGAUUAAGCGUGAGGUGAAAUGCCACUGCUCAACAGUGGAACUGCCUCGCGAACUGGUUGUCUUGAAUGCUCCUGCCGUGGGAGGAAUGUGUGGUGUAGCGGUGAAAUGCAUAGAGAUCACACAGAACACCGAUUGCGAAGGCAUCUCACGAAGGGGUGAUUGACGCUGAGGCACGAAAGCGUGGGGAUCAAACAGGAUUAGAUACCCUGUAGUCCAUGCAGUAAACGAUGAUAACUAACCGCUGGGUCGUAGUGAUUCAGUGGCCAAGCGAAAGCGAUAAGUUAUCCACCUGGGGAGUACGACCGCAAGGUUGAAACUCAAAUGAAUUGACGGGG
rnacentral:rRNA from 1 species